rnacentral:lncRNA from 1 species
UGAUAUAGCUCCCAAUUUAAAUUAACUACCUCUCCUUUUUGAUUUAUGAACAGGAAAAAAGCUUUGACUGUUAGGCACCUGGAUGAAGAGGCUUGGGUUCACAUUAUCAUUCUCCAGUAACCUGGAAGGACCCUCCAGUUGUGCCAGAAUCAUUCAACUGAAGUAUUAUCUCUGUUUAUAAAGAAUAAGACUUCCUGCCUCACAAGCACAAGGACCCAAGUUCGAUCCCGAUCCUCGGUCCCAAAAAUAAGUAAGUAAAUAAAUAAACAAACAAAAAAUAUAUAUAAAGAAUAAGAAACAAGAACCAGAGAAGUGAACUAAAGUGUUCAAAGAUACACUGAAAGGACAUAAUAGUCAGGACUUAAAUCCACAUUUCUAUAGCUCC